rnacentral:rRNA from 1 species
GGCGACGGGCGUUCUCGCCGGGAUGUAGGAACCGACCCGGGGGACCGGCCGGGGGCAACCCGGCGCCCCCGAGACGGGGGCGAACCACGGUGAAAUGACGGAUCGUCGGCCCCGCGCCGGCGACUCGCCGAAUGAGUUUCUGACCUAUCAACUCGAGACGGGCGGGGUAGAGGCCCGCCGCGGUAACGACGGGUAACGGGGAAUCAGGGUUCGAUUCCGGAGAGGGGAGCCCGAGAAACGGCUACCACUUCCAAGGAAGGCAGCAGGCGCGCAACUUACCCUAAUCUCGAUUCGAGGAGGUAGUGACAAGAAAUACCGAUGCGGGGACCCUACGGGUGCCGCGUUCGGAAUGAGUACGAUUCGAACCACCUAACGAGGAACGAUCGGAGGGCAAGUCUGGUGCCAGCAGCCGCGGUAAUUCCAGCUCCAAUAGCGUACGUUAAAGUUGCUGCAGUUAAAAAGCUCGUAGUUGAACGUUCGGG